UCAGCACCCUUGGUUUCCUCUGUCUGGAAAUAACAGUUUCAAAACAAUGGAUGAUUCAUUUCAGUCCAAUUUAUCAUCAAGCUAUAGAAGGGGGGAAGUACUCUAAUGAACUAGCAUGCUAGUAAAAUUCUUGUGAAGAUGUUAAUCCUGUAAUUAUAAUAUAUUAGGUAAUUGAUCAGUUAGUCUAGUCAGCAAAUUAGUUAGAAUAGUUGUAAUGAAUUCAUAGAUGGUUGAAAGCUAAGCAAUGCUAGCUGUGGAGCUUGUAUAAAAAAAUGUAACUAAACAUAUUCCAAGAUCAAUGAAUUAAUUUUCAGUUCAACCCUUAGAGCUAAAAAACGAUUAGAUCUAGAACGGUGAUGGUUAUUUUUUACAAAGCUUCUCAUCAAUGGCCCCAAGUCUUUAAUCUGAAAUUAAGCAUUCGAAUAAUCUUUCAAACUCUGAAUUUCAUCUUUACACCUGCAAGAAUUAUGCCAUCUAUGUAAACUAUCACGACCAG
rnacentral:misc_RNA from 1 species